rnacentral:rRNA from 1 species
UGGGGAAUAUUGGACAAUGGGGGAAACCCUGAUCCAGCAAUGCCGCGUGAGUGAUGAAGGCCCUAGGGUUGUAAAACUCUUUCAGAAGUGAAGAUGAUGACUGUAACUUCAGAAGAAGCUCCGGCUAACUCCGUGCCAGCAGCCGCGGUAAUACGGAGGGAGCUAGCGUUGUUCGGAAUUACUGGGCGUAAAGGGCGUGUAGGCUGUUAGGUAAGUCAGAGGUGAAAUCCCUAAGCUCAACUUAGGAACUGCCUUUGAUACUAUCUUACUAGAGAUCGAGAGAAGUUGGCGGAAUUCCAAGUGUAGAGGUGAAAUUCGUAGAUAUUUGGAAGAACACCAGUGGCGAAAGCGGCCAACUGGCUCGUAUCUGACGCUGAGACGCGAAAGCGUGGGUAGCAAACAGG